GUACACGCUGUGACUAGCAUAUCAAUAAGCGGAGGAAAAGAAACUAACAAGGAUUCCCCUAGUAACGGCGAGUGAAGCGGGAAGAGCUCAAAUUUGAAAUCUUAAAGGGUUUCCCUUUACGAAUUGUAGUUUAAAGAAGUGUUUUCUGUUGAGGUUUUGGUAAAAGGUCUUUGGAAUAGGACAUCAUAGAGGGUGAGAAUCCCGUAUUUGACCUUUACUUUCAACUUUGUGAUACACUUUCAAAGAGUCGGAUUGUUUGGGAAUGCAGUCCAAAAUGGGUGGUAAAUUUCAUCUAAAGCUAAAUAUUGGCGAGAGACCGAUAGCGAACAAGUACCGUGAGGGAAAGAUGAAAAGAACUUUGAAAAGAGAGUUAAACAGUACGUGAAAUUGUCAAAAGGGAAGCGUUUGACACCAGUGUUGUUUUUCUGAAAAUCAAUUAAAGAACUGUUUAUGCUAAGUUGUUUAGACUUUAUCAGCUAACUGUUUAGUUUUGAGCUUUUCUUUAAUGCACUUUCCAGUUAACAAGUCAACAUCAAUUUCUUUUGCUGUAGAAAAGCUUGAGGAAGGUGGCUUGAGAUUCGUCUUAAGUGUUUAUAGCCUCUUGCCUAUGCAGUCGGAGAGAUUGAGGUCUGCAGCGUAGAUCCUUCGGGGCUAAAUGCAUUUGUGCUAAGUUAUAACAUUUUAUAGACAACUUGUUGACUAUGAUUUGUCUUGUAGCUUACUCGCUUAUGUUAUUUUACCUACGCUUAGGAUGUUGACAGCAGUAUAGACUGU
rnacentral:rRNA from 1 species